CACGUAGGGCGCAAGCGUUGUCCGGAAUUAUUGGGCGUAAAGAGCUCGUAGGCGGUCUGUUACGUCUGCUGUGAAAACCCGGGGCUUAACCCUGGGCUUGCAGUGGAUACGGGUAGACUAGAGGCAGGUAGGGGAGAAUGGAAUUCCCGGUGUAGCGGUGAAAUGCGUAGAUAUCCGGAGGAACACCGGUGGCGAAGGCGGCUUCCUGGACCGACACUGACGCUGAGGCGCGAAAGCUAGGGGAGCAAACGGG
rnacentral:rRNA from 1 species